AACAAAACUCAAUGAAUUUCUCUUCAUGGUCACCACUGAUAAAAUUUUUGGGUUAUUUUACUUUUAAUCUUUUAAAAGAAGAUAUUGGGGAAAAAUUCUCACUUCUCUCCUUCCCCUCAAACUCCAAGAAAGUAUGCACCAUAUCUUCCUGUAUAUGCUAUAUAAAUAUACAUGAAUCAAUUUAAAUAGAGCUACAAGGAAUAGGCAGGAUAUUGUCACAGAAUCUGAAGCAAUCAUACUUUCUCACUACAAAUAGGGUCAACAUUAAUAAUUGGCAUAUUUCAUUUUUUUAAACUUUUAGACUGUUGAUAGGUAUAGAAUAAGAUAGCUGUAGAAUAAGGACUGAGGAUGGCAUUUUUAAAAGGUAGCUCCAUUACAUUAUUUAAUUAAAAUAUUUUUGUUCCUUUGUCAUUUCCUGUUCUGUCCAUGGGAUUUUGCACAUAGUAAGUAUCACAAGCUGAAAGGUGAGACUUUUUUGGCAAAUUUUAGAUAAGUGUAGGCAGGUUUAAAAACUCCCAGCUGGUUACUCCGUAGAAAUUUAACUCAUUCUUUCAUUAGGAAGCUGAAUUAACCCCAUACUUCAAGGAGACAGAUUCCAACUGUAGAGAAUCAGACAGACUCCAAGAUUCAUAAUUCCUGACACAUAUGCUUUUGGAAAAUGCAUCUGUAGAAACUGUGGAAGUUGUAGACUUGAUAGUUGGGUUGGAUAUAAAAGACUGAAGUCACAAGGGCACUUCAUGUGAACAAAAUAAAGACUGUGCUGGUUUUGCUUUUGACCAAUGUUUUUUUCUCAACUGCUUAGAAAACAAAUACUUUAACUUGUCCACUAACUCUAGCUUUUUCUUUCAGAAAUGGUGACAGUAAAGUCCUAAGGAAUUAUUUUUUUUAUCUAAAAGAAACUAUUUUCUUGCUUGCUUGCUGCUGGCUUCCUCUCCUGUGUGAUGAAGGUGUGCCCCAGACUUGAAAGAAACCAGAGAAACAAUAUCCAAAGCUGGAAGUGAAAAUGUGAUCUACAAGGAAGAUUAACAAAAAUGAAGAGUGUUUCUGAUUAUCACGGUAAUUUUCUUAGCCACAAAUAGGAUUCUGAAUCUAAAGAAUCAGGAUGCUGUUUGGCACAUCACAGUAUAAACUUGCUAAAUAGUAAGUUAUGAACCUAGAAUAUAAAUAGGCUUCUAAGAUAUUUUCCUUACUAUAAGCAGUGGCUUAGAUAUAAGAAGACUCUGGCUAAUCUUCUAGAGCAGUUUGUUGGCAUGAAAUAGACCUUGUAAAUAUUUUAUGUAUGUCCUUCCAGACUGACUAAUCUAAGAACAAAGGUUUUCAAUUGUACCCUGAAAGUUUAUCCUCAAGAAAUGGUGUACUCUAUAUUUUAGAGCUACAAACAUCUGUAGAAAAUUCCCAUCUACAAGUUUUUGAAAUUGAAUGACAGGACUGUCAGUAGUGGUGGUGUCUGUCUGUUUCCAUGUCAGUGGGUAAUGGCAAUUUUGGGUUUUUUUUUGAGCCUCAAGCAUUUAGCACCUAGUAACUUUAAUCUAAAUCCCCUGAAUUUCUGAAAUCAUAUUUUUUACUUGUGUAAAGAAAUGGACAUCUAUUUCUGUAAAGAAGGUUACAAUCUUUCAUAACUAAAGGACAAUUUAAAACACUUGUUUUGUAAUAUUGAAAUGUUUUGAAAUAAAAUAUCUGGUCAUAAUGUUACCUAAUUAUUCUGUUACUAAGACUAAUACCUUGGAAUUCAUUAUUCAGCCAUUAAAGAAACGUUUAUUUCAAUUGUAAGAAGCAGCACAUAAACUGUUCUUACUUGUCUAUUCUUUUUUUAAAAAGUCCUGCAGAAAUAUGGUGACUUUUUAAUCUAAAUUUUCUGAAAGUAAGCAAGGGAAGAGAAAAAUUAUUACUUUUGAAUAUACGAUGCAGUAAAAUUUUCCUUUAUAUAAAAGUUUCUUUUGGAAAAAUUAUUUGAUAAUAGAAUAUGCACAGGACCCGUUAGUAUUUUGCAAUGUUCCUUCAAAUUAUUGUUUUCUACUCAGUCUGAUGAUAAGUGGUCCAAUACAGUAAUGAGUUUUUUCUAUCCCUCUGGAUAGUCAGUUUUUUUCAUUUAACAUUUUUUAUACAUUAACUCAUAUAAUUUCUAGUUAUGUCAUUGACUAAUUUAGCCAUAUAUGUUUAUAUGUAUAUAAUAUUGACUAAUACUCUGCCUAUUCACAGAAACGUCAUGUUAUUCCAAAUUCCUAGUCUGACAAAUUUAAACCAUGCAAUACAUGCAAACAUCAAUAAACAGAACAGACACUAAUCUGAGGAAUAUAUAAGGAAAAACUCAAAAAUCUCAAACUUGUAUUGGAGGCAAUUUCUUAUGGGAAAAAUAUACUUUGAUCCUAAGACAGAUAAGUCAGAUCUAUUAAAUUAUAAUGAGCCCACAGUCCAGCUUAAGUAAAAUUCUAUAGAUAUGAUCUUAAUGUGGAGCUCACAUUGAUGAGAUUUUAAGUGUUUCAUUCCUGCGUAAGGUUAUCUAUGUUCUGCUUUUAUUUAUUUUCUAGCAGUUAGUUUUUCACAGUGUGGCUUUGCCACACUCAGAAACAAAGGAGCAUCAUCAUUAUUAUUACUAUGAUAACAUUUACAUAGAAGACAGUAGCAGGUGCAGAGUCCACAAUUAAGAUGAAUUCCACUGCAGUAUAUGAGAUGGAUUGCAGAAGACAGGCAAAGCGCAUUCAACCAUGAACAAAUAAAGUACAUUAAACUGAAUAUGCUCACAAUAUCAACUCGAAACAAUGCAAAAUACUAUCUUCAGACUAGUUUCUGUCAUUUAACUUGAAUUACAGAAGAACGCUGGCAAAAUUGUCGAUAAUCUACAAGCUAAUCAGAGCAAGAAGAAAGCACAUUCUCUCUAGGUGUAGGAUGAAUAAUGGCAACACAAUGUAAACUUAUCUGCUGUGUUAAAGGGCCGUUAGCCUUCAUUCUGACGACUCCUUCGUGCUGUACUCAGGGCCUUGCCUUUGUGCUCUAACAGCUCCUGGUACAUACUAGAUUCUAUCAAAAAAUUGGUCUUAUUUAUUUUACUAUUUCAAAUUUUUAUUGUGAAAAAUUUAAACAUACAGAAAAUGUUAAUGAAUAAUAUAACCAAAUUUGUAUACUUAUCACCCAGAUUUAAUCAUUAAUAUUUGCCAAAUUUGCAUUAUCUUAUUUAUUUAUUUAUUUUUUGAAAUGGAGUUUUGCUGUUGUUGCCCAGGCUGGAGUGUAAUGAUGCGAUCUUGGCUCACUGCAACCUCCACCUCCCGGGUUCAAGCAAUUCUUGUGCCUCGGCCUCCCGAGUAGCUGGGAUUACAGGCAUGCUCCACACCUUGCUAAUUUUGUAUUUUUAGUAGAGACAGGGUUUCACCAUGUUGGCCAGGCUGGUCUCAAACUCCUGACCUUAAGUGAUGCACCCACCUCGGCCUCCCAAAGUGCUGGGAUUACAGGUGUGAGCUACUGUGCCCAGACACAUUAUAUCUAUAUAUGCCUACAUGACCAGACCAUUAGAGAGUAAGAUUUCAGUAUGAAUCUCCUAAGAACAACUAACAUAACCACAACACAAUUAACACACCUAAGAAAAGCACAAUGACUCAAUGUCUAAUAUUCAUUCUGUAUUCAAAUUCACCUAAUUAUCUUAAAAAAUGUCUGUUCUGGCUGUGAUUUUUGUUUUCUUUUUAACCAAUAGCCUAUUAAGGGAAACUAAAUCUUGAAAUGGUAGCUUAAUUCUAUGGGCCAUCUGGCUCAGACACAGAUCCAACUUAAAAAUGGCAUAAACAAAAGUAUUUCUCUCUCAUUUAACAGUCUGGACAUGUGCCAGUACAGGGCACUUUGGGUGGCUCUUCCAUCCUCAGCUCAUGGCUUCAUCUCUCAGUUGAAAUGUGGCAGCUCUAGCCCCAUGGUCAUGCCAUAGAGAAGGCACAGGGGAGCACACACUCCCAGGGCAUGAUCCAGAUGUUGUAGAUACAAGUUCUGUUCACAUUCCAUUAUAUAGGAUGUUGACACAUAAUCCUACUAUUUGCAGCAGAGGCUGAGAAAAACAGUUCUUAUUAUUGAUGGCCAUGUGUCUAAAUUUCCCUGGACCUGUGAAUCUUGUGUAUAAAGGAAGAAUAUUUUAAGGGCUGCAAUUAGCUUUCUCUGCUAUGAGGUAUUUCUGGAAAUGACUGAGCUAUGACAAACUAUAUUAAAAUUAAUUCCCAAGACACUGCAACAUAAUGAUGGGUUUAAGCUUAUUAAUGGUUAAGACUGUUUUUCUCUUACACUGAAUAAGCUUCAUGUUAUUAAUAUUCAUUUUGAGUUCAUCAACGUGUUUUUUUUUUUAGAUUUUCUUUGUCCCUCCUUGUCAGUAUAUAAGCUGUCCAUGCUCAUUAAUGGAACCAUGCUUUCUUCCCUUACCAGUUUUUAUUGUUAAGUUUUUUAAAAUAAAAUGUAUUUAAGUAUUAAUAUACAUGAAGGAAAGUUCACAAAUCAUAAUUUACAGCAUGGUGAAGCCAGUAAAACAUACUUGUAAACACCACUUGGAUCAAGAAAUGGAACAUGUCAGUGUUCUAGAAGCAUUUUUGGUAACCUCUAAAUAUUACUCCUUUCUUCUCCCAAAGAUAACGAUUAUUCUGACCUUUGACACCAUGGUUCAAUAUUGUAUGUUUUUGAAUUUUAUAUACGCAAAAAUCAUUCAAUACACAUUCCUUUUUGUCUGACAUUUCUUGUUCAAUAGUAUGCUUAUGAGAUUCACUGAUAUUAUUGCAUGUAGCAGUAGUUCAUUCAUUUUCAUUGCCUAUGGGAUUGUAUGAACACAGUAUAAUUUAUUUAUCCAUUAAAUAAUUGAUGAACACCUGGAUUGCUUCUAGUUCUUGGCUACUACAAAUACAGUCACUCAGACCAUUAUUGUAUGUAUAUUUUGGUGCACAUAUGUAUAUAUUUGUUAAAUAUAUAUAGUUCUUGGGAAUGAAAUUGCUGGUUUAUGGGGUAAUUAGUAUGUGUAUAUUCAUUUUUCUUGCCUUAUUUCACGCAGACUUCUAGUACAAUGUUGAAUAGAAGUCAUCAUAAAGAGAAUUCUUGUCUUGCUCAGGACCUCAAGGAAAAAUCUUUCGCCACUGCACCUACUUCACCGUUAAGUAUGAUAUCGUUUGCUUUAGGAGUUUUGCAAAUAUCAUUCGUCAGAUUAAGAAAAUUCUUUCUAGUCCUAAUAUUCUAAGGUUCUCUUGUGGGUAUGGAGUGAAUAUUUUAUCAAAUGCUUUUAUUAUUGAGGUGAUUAUAUAAUUUUCCUCUUUAUAACCAGCCUUGCAUUCCUGAAAUAAACCCAAUUUCUUGGUGAUAUAUUAUCCCUAAAUAUCCCAUGUAUCAAAGAAGAUAUUACGUUGGAAAUUAUAUAUGUUUAACUGAAUUAUAAUGAAAGUAUGACAUAUAUCUUUUUGUUUUUUGAGACAGAGUUUCACUCUU
rnacentral:lncRNA from 1 species